rfam:Asian citrus Psyllid, Diaphorina citri - Florida Strain, whole genome shotgun sequence.
GCCUUGUUAGCUUGGUUGGUAGCGCGUCUGCCUCGUAAGCGCUAGGCCGCGGGUUUGACUCCCGCCUGGGGCG